rnacentral:rRNA from 1 species
UAGGAUAGAGGCCUACCAUGGUGAUGACGGGUAACGGGGAAUAAGGGUUCGAUUCCGGAGAGAGGGCCUGAGAAACGGCCCUCAGGUCUAAGGACACGCAGCAGGCGCGCAAAUUAUCCCCUGGCAACACUUUGCCGAGAUAGUGACAAUAAAUAACAAUGCAGGGCUCUUACGGGUCUUGCAAUUGGAAUGAGUACAAUUUAAAUCCCUUAACGAGGAACAAUUGGAGGGCAAGUCUGGUGCC